rnacentral:rRNA from 1 species
UACAGAGGUCCCAAGCGUUGUUCGGAUUCAUUGGGCGUAAAGGGUGCGUAGGCGGCGCGGUAAGUCGGGUGUGAAAUCUCGGAGCUUAACUCCGAAACUGCAUUCGAUACUGCCGUGCUUGAGGACUGGAGAGGAGACUGGAAUUUACGGUGUAGCGGUGAAAUGCGUAGAGAUCCGGAAGAACACCGGUGGCGAAGGCGGCCUGCUGGGCAGUAGCUGACGCUGAUGCGCGACAGCGUGGGGAGCAAACAGG